GUGUUCAAUUCAAUAGCAUCUAUACUAAAAUUGGGACAAUACAAAGAAGAUUAGCGUGGCCCCUGUGCAAAAAAACAAGACCAAACCAAAAUAAAAACACAUGUCUU